UACGGGGGGGGCAAGCGUUGUUCGGAAUUACUGGGCGUAAAGGGCUCGUAGGUGGCCAACUAAGUCAGACGUGAAAUCCCUCGGCUUAACCGGGGAACUGCGUCUGAUACUGGAUGGCUUGAGUUCGGGAGAGGGAUGCGGAAUUCCAGGUGUAGCGGUGAAAUGCGUAGAUAUCUGGAGGAACACCGGUGGCGAAGGCGGCAUCCUGGACCGACACUGACGCUGAGGAGCGAAAGCCAGGGGAGCAAAACGGG
rnacentral:rRNA from 1 species